rnacentral:rRNA from 1 species
GGAUUGUAGUCUGCAACCCGACUACAUGAAGCUGGAAUCGCUAGUAAUCGCGAAUCAGAAUGUCGCGGUGAAUACGUUCCCGGGUCUUGUACACACCGCCCGUCACACCAUGGGAGUCGGAAAUGCCCGAAGUCAGUGACCCAACCGUAAGGAGGGAGCUGCCGAAGGUGGAGCCGGUAACUGGGGUGAAGUCGUAACAAGGUACC